rnacentral:snoRNA from 1 species
GGGUUAGUGAUAAUUAUAAAAAUAAUUGAUUAUUUUGACUUACUCAAUUCAAUUUGGGCAUGAUAGACUUCUUAUUACUCAUAGACUAUGAGUUAC